ACUCAAAGGAAUAGACGGGGACCCGCACAAGCAGCGGAGCAUGUGGUUUAAUUCGAAGCAACGCGAAGAACCUUACCAAGGCUUGACAUCCCUUGACAGCCGUUGAAAGACGGUUUCCCUUCGGGGCAAGGAGACAGGUGGUGCAUGGUUGUCGUCAGCUCGUGUCGUGAGAUGUUGGGUUAAGUCCCGCAACGAGCGCAACCCUUGUCAUUAGUUGCCAGCGCGUGAUGGCGGGAACUCUAAUGAGACUGCCGGGGAUAACUCGGAGGAAGGUGGGGACGACGUCAAAUCAUCAUGCCCCUUAUGUCUUGGGCUACACACGUGCUACAAUGGCCGGUACAAAGGGCUGCGAAGGAGUAAUCCGGAGCGAAUCCCAUAAAGCCGGUCCCAGUUCGGAUCGUGGGCUGCAACCCGCCCACGUGAAGCCGGAGUUGCUAGUAAUCGCGAAUCAGCAUGUCGCGGUGAAUGCGUUCCCGGGUCUUGUACACACCGCCCGU
rnacentral:rRNA from 1 species